rnacentral:rRNA from 1 species
UCGAGAAUAUUUGGCAAUGGACGAAAGUCUGACCAUGUGACGCCGCGUGCGGGAUGAAGGCCUUCGGGUCGUAAACCGCUGUUACGGGAGACGAAGACUACAUUUGUGAACAACAGGUGUAGUUUGACGGUACCCCGAGAGAAAGCCACGGCUAACUCCGUGCCAGCAGCCGCGGUAAUACGUAGGGACCAAGCGUUGUUCGGAUUUACUGGGCGUAAAGGGCGCGUAGGCGGCAUGACAAGUCACUUGUGAAAUCUCCGGGCUUAACUCGGAACGGUCAGAUGAUACUGCUUUGCUAGAGUGCAGAAGGGGCAAUCGGAAUUCUUGGUGUAGCGGUGAAAUGCGUAGAUAUCAAGAGGAACACCUGAGGUGAAGACGGGUUGCUGGGCUGACACUGACGCUGAGGCGCGAAAGCCAGGGGAGCAAACGGGAUUAGAUACCCAAGUAGUCCCUGAGCGGGCUGGCAAGGCGCAU